GCCCACUUCCUUCCCCGGGUCUCCUUCCUAAAACACGUCCGUGAACGCACGCCCCGGCAUGCGGGCCGCAGUGGAAAGCGGCAUCCGGCGUGGUGGUCACUGUUCGCCAGGUUCCGGCCCGCGGAGUCGUCGUCCGUGAGCUCGACCACGCAAGAGGGCUUCAACCCUGUGGACCACGCGGGAGCAGCAUCCGCGCUCGGACCCGUCCUCGCCGGGCUCCCGUUCGUGGCGCGCGCCGACGUAGCGGCCAGCCACAGCGGACGCCCUCGUCUCUCCCAGGAGUGCCACAACGUCGCCGACGCGGCAGGGCACGACCUGGACGCUCGGGUUCGGGCUAUCCCCGCUCCUCGGCGGCUCCACCUCCGUCGCCACGGGAGGGCGACUCGACCUGGGUGAUGAAGGUGGCGAGGGCCACGGCGAGGAGGACGUCAAUGCCGUGGGCCUCGCGGGAGCAAGAUCCGCGCUCGGCCCUGUCCUCGUCGAGUUCCCGUCGUCCGUGGCACAAGCUCAACUCGCGGCCAACCAUAACGGACGCCGCUGUCUCUCCACGGAGUGCCGUUGCCGACGCGGUGGGGCACGGCUGCACGGCCGGGGCGCUCGGGCUCCGCCCCCUCCUAGGCACACCCGCCCGCUUCCUCGGCGGCUCCAUCUCGGGCGCGACUGGUCUCGGAUGCAGAGUCGUGGUCGGCGCGCUCGACAUGGGAGAUGGAGACGGCGAGGGCGAGGAGGACGUCACGAACGAGCUCAGGUACGUCGACUUCUUUUUUUUUUAACGUCACCGGGGGGCAGAAAAGACUGCCCACCUGAAUUUUCAUAUAAUUAGCUCAAGAAGAGCCUGACAUACAAGGGAGAGAGAGAGCGAUAGGUGUAGGGAGGCCCUGACACCCUUACAAUCCCAGCGGGGACCUGACACCCUUACAAUCCCAGCGGGGACCGGGAACUGAGAAACUACGGCAAGGCAGCAAAGCGCUGCACCCACGAUUCUAAGAUCGUUUUACAUAUAGCGCGGGAGCAUCUCCAUUUCCAGAGAGAGACAUCGGCAGCGAUGCAGCGCACCACUUCUAGGGGAGGGAGGUCUUGGUUGCGAAAAACCUUGGCGUUUCUGCUCUUCCAGAUGUUCUAGAGGAUAGCGAUGCAGACAGUGAACCGCAUGCGGGGGACACCCGGCAGGCCUGCAUUCGAGGCGUAGAAGAGGCCCUCGACAGACUGGGUGGCCGCUGUCCCCGGAGCAACUAGGGCCCAUAUGGCACUGGCGUGUGCACAGCCGAACAGCAAGUGCUCCAAUGUUUCAUCCUGACCACAGAAGGCACAGGCGGCCCCGUCAAUGAUGUGUCUUCGACAGGGAAGACACCGGCGGUGGCACAACCAAAAGAAGAAUUUGCACUUGCCGGGGGCGAAGCUGCGCCAAAUGGUGGGCGCGAAGUUGUCCGGUUCGUGCACCGCCAUGGCAGCCCGAUACGCCCCUCUGGCUGUGAACACAGCCCCGCUGACCCGCAGCGAACGAACAUCCUGCAUGCCGUGGUGCAGGGUCACCCCUCUGAGCUCUUCCUUGAGACGAGCGAGUUCAGAGCAAGCAGCGGAAGAGAGCCGGGGGCGCAGCUGAGCGUCCAGCCCCUGCAGGGCAACAGCAACGCACGUGUUGGGGCGCACAGAGUGCGAGAAGAGUGCAGGAAACCGGAGCUCGAGCGUUGUCUCACCCAGCCAAAGAUCACACCAGAAGGCUGUGUGUUCUCCGUUCCCCACCACGCACGCUGUGCUCUCCCGGAAGAGCGGCAGCAGCGCCAAGAGGGACUUCCAUGUGGGGGUGUCUAGGCGGCCGGCGUCACCCAGGUCACGCACGCCGGCCCACCCAUACUGGGAGGAGAACCACGUUUGCCAACCGGCUUCUGGGGGGGCAUGGAUCUUGGCGAGCAGCUUCAUCAGCAAGCACGCAAGCACGAGUUCUGAAGUCUCAUGUCCCGGACGCCAAGUCCGCCCCGGUCGCGUGGUUUGCAGACUUCAGACCCGUUGACUGUGGAGUCGUUAGUCUAGAAGAAGGCUCGGCAUUUCUUCUCAAAGCUGGCGUGUGUGCCUUCAGCCAAUUGAAUGGAGCCCAUGGCGUAAGUAGGCAGGGACGUGAGGACCGCGUCGACCAAGGUCCAUUUGCCAGCAGAGGAUAGCAGCAAACCGCACCACCCAGCUAGCCAUUUAUCCACCCUUGCAAUUAGCGGAUAGAAAUCAGCCAGCUUGAGUUUAGUAGCAGACAGAGGCAGCCCCAGGUAUUGUUGUGGGAAAGCAGCCACGGGGCAUCCGAAAACAGCAGCAAGCUGGCAUGCCAUCUCAGGCUCUACGUUGAUGGGGACAAAGGUGCAUUUGUCAAAGUUGAGGGCGAGACCAGUGUUGGCCGCGAAGGUGUCCAGCACCCUCUUGAGCUUGGCGACUUGGUCUGGAUCAGCUUUAAGAAGGAUCAAGGUGUCGUCUGCAUAUUGAAGGACGGGGCACGGGAGCGACGGCUCCAGGGGGUGUUGAAGGCCUCCUUCGGCACCGAUCGCCAGGAUGAGGCGUUGGAGCACAUCCGCUACCAGAAUGAAGAGGUACGGGGAUAAGGAGUCUCCUUGUCGCAGGCCUUUUUUGCAUUCAAACCAUCGCCCGGGCACUCCAUUGAGCACAACAGCAGACCUACUGGAGGUGUUUAGAUCACUCACCCACUUGCGCCAUCUGGUCGAGAAUCCUUUCGCCUCCAAGAUACGGUCCAGAGCAACCCAGGAGACGGAGUCAAAGGCUUUUCUAAAGUCCAGUUUGAGCACGACUGCCGGCAGCUUCCUCUUGUGGCAACACUGAACCAGCUCUGCAGCCAAGACGAAAUUCUCAGAGAUACACCUCCCGCGCAAGAACCCAGUCUGCUCCGGGUGGACGAGGAAAGGGAUGAGUGGUUGAAGCCGACUCGUCAUCAUGCGCGACAACAUCUUCGGGGGACAGUUCUGGAGCGAGAUGGGUCUGAAGUUCGACGGCGACGUAGGUGCGUCCAUCUUCGGGAUCAGUGUGACGAACGACCUGUUGAUGCCCGACAGGUCAGUCUUGUGAUCAAAGAAUUCAGCAGCCAGUUCCUGAAGGUCUGGGGCCAGACGAGUCCAGGCGUGCUGGAAGAAGGCAGGGCCGAAACCAUCUGGCCCAGGGGCUCCCCCAGCCCGCAUUCCGAAGACAGCAGCUUUGAUUUCAGCGUUGGAGAACGGUUGGUCGAGGGCGAGCGACUGGGCAGAGUCCAAUCUAGCACCAGACAUCAACUGGUGCAAGUCUAGGUUGUCCACAACCGGCGUUUCAGUCCCAAGCAGGUUUAGGUAGAAAUCACGCAGGAUACGAGCCUUGUCGUUGUGGGCUCGGUGCUCGACCCCGUCGCGGACGAGGCAUGCAAUCUGGUUCCCACGGCGGCGUGCAGACGAGCAAGCAUGGAAAAACUUGGUGUUCUCGUCGCCCAAGACGCAGAACCUGAUUUUCCCUCGACGUCUCCAGAAGGCUGCAGCCCGCUUGAGGUGUAAGGACAGAGAGCUCUGGACAAGAGAGCGCAGGAGAAACUCGGGGUCAGAAAGGCUGCGUUGCUCUUCCAAAGAGUCCAGGAACCUGAUGACCUCAUUGCACUUGGCAACAAUCAUGUCAGGGUGCUUGAUUGAUCUUGACCAUCUCUUGAGAGCGCUGCGAAAUUUCUUCAGCCGAACGGACAGGCGCUUCGCGGGCGCGAAGGUGGGGUUGACGGGGGAGUCAGCAGUUUCAAGUGCAGCAGCCAGGCCGGGGUAUCCAAACCAAUGGUCACUGAACCUGAAGAUCGAGGCACACGGAACAACAGUUGCAGCAGUGAGGACAAUCGGAACAUGGUCCGAGGCCCUAGAAGCAAUGGAGGUGACAGCCGAAUCAGGGAAAGCGGUGCACCAGUCGUUGUUGACAAAGAAGCGAUCCAGUUUGACGAGCACAGGCUCCCUAUGACGGUUACUCCAGGUGAACAGCCGGUCAAGCAAAGGCAGCUCAAGCAGGGCCGCCUCGUCAAUGCAGUCGUUGAAACUCUCGGCGUCCGCAGCACAGAAGUUCCCGUUUUGAUUUUUCAUGCGGCAGACGGAUGAAGUUGAAGUCUCCUAAGAUAGACCACGGCUCAAGGAUCCCCCCAGCAGUGGCAGUAAUAUUGUUCAGGAAGAGAGCUCGAUCAGGACCGGCACAGGGGCCGUAAGCAUUGGUAAUAGUAAGGCAGAGCCCCGAGGCCCGGUAGCGCAAACGAGCUGUGAGGAGGCCGGGGAGCUGAGAAGAUGACACGAGCUCCAGCACCCGAUCGUCCCAGGCAGUGAUCAGUUCGCCCGAAGCCCCGGUACUGGCCUGAAACACCAAGGAGCGAGCAACAUGACCAGGGAGGAAAGCAAGGGCUUUGAAGACAGGAACGUUUUGCAGUUUAGCUUCCUGGAUACAGACAACAGACACCGCAGCAGUAGAGAGCACAGCCUUAACAGCGACACAUUUGUCAUCUUCUCCUAAUCCACGGACAUUCCAGGAGACAAAAGUAAACCGUUUAGCAGGGGCACUAGUCAUUGGAGACAGUGGAUACACAGAGGGUAGCUAGAACUAGACGGACGUAGAGGAGUGGAGCAGCGGAGAGGGCACGGGUAGCCCCCUCAUCAAAAGCAGCCGAGGUUGUCGCCAUUUGGGAUUAGACCGCCCGCCCGCCUCGGCGGCGAGCAGUUGCACCAGGGGCAGAUUCCAGUAGAGCCAAAUCUUCUUCAGGCACCGCACAGGCGCGUCCCAUGUCCAUCAGAACGGGGAUGGCAGUUGGUGGCGAGGGAGGAGGCGAUGUAGCGGGAGACGCGGCAGUCACCACGCCCAACUUCCUUUUCUUGAUCGCCACGGCUCGGUCCACCAUGGGGACGUAACCAGCAGGCUCGGUCAGCGUGAGACGGCCGCUGCGACGACACUCGGGCUCCGGUACGGCUGGCAGAGCACCCACCCAUGGAUCAGGGAAAUCCAGUGCAGGGAUAGCACUAUCAUCCACUCGAGCAAGGAUGUGAUCAAACACGGCAGAAGACGGUGGAGCGCGCACACCCGGAGCGGCCGAGGAGACAUCGCUCAGCCCAUCCAACAGGGGCGAGAGCGCAGAGAAGCCGGAGACAGGGUCGCCGCCCGCAUCGCCCGGCAGAGCAGCAACAUCAGCGGGUGGCCCCUCGUCCAACAGGGGGAUAGGCGCCUCUUCAGCCAAAGGGGCCUCUCCGCCCUCCAGGAGAGGGGCAGCAUCAGGGACUGGGAUGGCCACGGGGAGGGCCGUCGUGGUGGCGCUCGGCGGGGGCGUGGGCGUGGGCGUCGCCUGAGCCCGCAGGGCAGCCCGGACACCUACAAGAGUGGAGGCGAAAGGGACCGUCGGCUGGGGCAGGGCACCCACGGCCGCCACCACUUCCCAUUCGAGCUCGGCAAGCGAGAGGUUUCGCCAAUGAUCUUCAGGUGCAGGCGCCCGAACGAUGAUGUCCGCAGAGAGGGUAGCACGCACCCCCUCAUGCUUGGGGAUGAUGGAGUCGAUGACUCCGACAGAGGCGGAGCAGAGGUUGACGACGAGCAUGCCCUUGGAGCCCGUGAGGCGAAGCGGUUGCAUCGGGAUUUUAUAGAAAGCACGCUCGCCCCCAGCGCCGACCGCUAGGAUUUCGAAGAAGCCAUCCGAGACGUCGAUCUGAACUUGAGUGGGCUUGGAGGAGAUGCACUGUCCUUGCACGUCCGGGAGAACAAGAUGGCCGGCCAUGGGGCCGCAAGGCACAGGCAGCAGGCCGAGCACCCGCUCACUGCGCGAGGCCACGGGCGCAGAAAGAGCCCCCCGGCGGGAGGACCCAGCUCCCGCAGCGCCCUGAUCGCGUCGAAUCAGAACAGGGUUGUGGCGGUCUUCGUCUCCGGGGCCAUCGCGCGGGGAUGGUGGAGAGCGCGGGGAGGACGGGUCGUCUCUCCCACCGCCGCCCCCGUCGCUGUCGGAGCUAGGGCCCAACAGAGGGGUGACGUCGACUUCUUGUUCCCUCAUCUCACACGCUGUUUGUGUUGAUCAAAUCCUCCAAUUCUCAGAUUUGUGUUCAAGAGCCGCAGGUUUCAGGAUGCUCAUCGCCAUAUACAGGCCGUUCUCCACUUGAUUUAUGUCAGGAGUCGAAUCAAAACUGCGGUUCACCGUUCACAUUGGGUCUUCUAUCUGCUGGUAAAAGAACUCAAAGCAUGCUCGACGCGAUCGGACACAUCGAUCCGACUGCGCCGGUGUACCAUUGGAAAAUCAAUAGGUGUGAUGCUCUAUUGCGGGAAGUCAUGGGAGAAAAUCUUUACAAGGAAGUGAUCGUCGCGGCGCCAAAGGAGGACGAAGGCGAUUUUGGCUGCAUCGUCAUCCGUGGGAAUGAAGUUCUUCACGGAGUUGCCAACUUCAUGGAAAAUAAGAAGCGGGGCAUGAAGUUGUAGUCUCACAAGUCACAAGGUCACUGGAUAGCCAUUUCAUAUCAUCAUUGCGGGAAGUCAAAGAGAAGUUCAUAAUGAUAUGACAUUUAGCAAUUUAUAUGGAAAUUGUUUCUGGUGCCUUCCAACUUCAACGAUUUAUUGCAAGAUGUGAAAAUGAAACCAUCUUUAACGCAGUACAAGCAUGUAGUUUAUUUUGUUUUCCAAAAGUUUGAUCAUAUUGGAUUGGAUGCUCCUAUUCUUUUUGUGUGUUCUUGCUAAUGGCUAAUCCUUAAUUGAUUUUGCUGUCAUGAUCUGGUUUUGUAUGUUAAAUUUCAGAUAAUUGUGCUGCCGCACUGAUACACUCUUAUUUGGCACAGUUUGGGUGAGCCCUGGUCAAAACUAGGUACUAUUCACAAUUGUCCUCUUGUGCAAGGAUUGUAGUUCUCUUUUCGAUUGAUACUGGCCGAGCAUGGCUGCGAAUAUAUCAUAUAGGAUCAUUACAGUUCACCUAAGAGUGGUUUUACGUGGUAGUAUCGAAAUGCUAACUUGGUUGUACAAGUCUCAAUAUUCUUGCUGUUAUUUCAAUUUUUAUUAACUGAUCCUAUCAUUUUGUAUUUUUCACCAGCCAAAGCUCGCCUGAUUGUGAGAACGGAACUUGUUAACAGUAUAUUUUGAUUAAUUACCUUUGGUAUUCUUGCUGUUAUUUCAAUUUUUAUUUAUGUUCACCAUGUCGGUUUUCUAUUGCGGUUAUACUGAAGCAGAAGUUGCUUGCUUCCCUAGCUAUUUACGCAAAGUACAGCGUGUUAGCGACAGCUGCAGGGCGCAAUAUGUCAGGGGAGUUUGUUCCUACACGAAUAUAUAGUUUGUUCUGGAAUUUUUUGGUUCUUCGGUAUCAUUUUUAGUAUGUAUGCACAAGACUAACCUUACUUGAAAAGAGUUAUGUACCAUACUGUUCAUGUGGAUACCCUUGACGUCUUAGUAGGCCUCUCUUAGUGUAAGGGAGUACAAUUAUUGUGACGGGAAUCAGGUUGAAAAUUGCUCCCUUGUGAACCUAUAGGCAUUUCCUUUCUUUAUUUCCUCGCUGAUGCUUCUGUAUGUAAUUGUUUCUUUUUCAUAAAAAAUCAGGGGAUCACGUGGUCAUGCACUCUUAAGAGGUAAUUCAUAGUCCCUCCGUCCGGAAAUACUUGUGGAAAUACUUGUCCGAGGAAUGGAUGUAUCUAAUGUAUUUUAAUGCUAGAUACAUCCAUUGUAUCCAUUUUUACGACAAGUAUUUUCGGACGGGGGAGUAUAUAGCUACUUUUACCUGUUUCGGUAUUUGGUGUUUGCUUUGUAUGACAUUUUGUUGAUUCCGUCUACUGAUGUUGUUGCUACACUGUUGCACCUCUUGCCAGGAUUAGUGCAGCGUUCUGUGUUCUGCAAGUGUUGUUGACUCAACACCUCUUGAGUCAAGACUGGUUCAGAGAAAUUGACAGAUGUACAAGAGCUGCUCAGCCGCACAAGAGUUGAGCAAAAAGAGAAGAAUUAGAAAUAGAGACAUGGCAAAAGGCAAACCUUCAGCAAGUGAAGUAAGGCAAACAAGGAUCUCCGAAAAAGAUUUUCUCCAGUUUCUCGAUAUUUUGCUAAUCCGUCAAGAGUCAAGAUGUGCAUCCAGCAACAACUUCAACAUUGUCUACACAGGGAACAGAUCACCAAGAACAAAAGCAGAAGAAAUAGCUUCAUCUCUCUAUCACUACAUCAGAGAGACAAACCAAGCUGGAGGAUCAACAUCUCUGGUCUAAGAAGAGAACCAAACCUUUGCAAUUCGGUAUCCAGUAGCCAUUAUCACCACCUACCAUUGAUCACAUGCAUGUACCAACUAGAUGUACUCUUUCUUUGUAUGAACUACUUUGCGACGAAUUAAGUCUUGGACUAACUUACCAAACAUUGCAAAAAACCAAAUAGCUUAUUGAUUCAUGUGGCGCGGCGUGCCGCGGCGCACUACACGCUA